AUUGAACGCUGGCGGCAGGCCUAACACAUGCAAGUCGAACGGCAGCGGGGGAUAGCUUGCUAUCCUGCCGGCGAGUGGCGGACGGGUGAGUAAUGCCUGGGGAGCUGCCCAAUCGAGGGGGAUACCAACUGGAAACGGUUGCUAAUACCGCAUACGCCCUGCGGGGGAAAGGUGGGGACCUUCGGGCCUACCGCGAUUGGAUGCACCCAGGUGGGAUUAGGCUGGUUGGUGAGGUAACGGCUCACCAAGGCGACGAUCUCUAGCUGGUCUGAGAGGAUGACCAGCCACACUGGAACUGAGACACGGUCCAGACUCCUACGGGGAGGCAGACAGUGGGGAAUAUUGCACAAUGGGGGAAACCCUGAUGCAGCCAUGCCGCGUGUGUGAAGAA
rnacentral:rRNA from 1 species